rnacentral:snRNA from 1 species
GUGCUCACUUCAGCAGCACAUAUAUUAAAAUUGGAAUGAUACAGAGAAGAUUAGCAUGGUCCCUGCACAAGGAUGACAUGCAAAUUCGUGAAGCGUUCCAUAUUUUU